CUUCGGUGACGAGUAGAGUGGCGCACGGGUGCGUAACACGUAGCUAACGUACCCCCUUGCUGGGGAUAACUCCGGGAAACCGGAGCUAAUACCGAAUAGUCUGAAAGGGUCUGCGGACCUUUUCGGCAAAGCCGUAAGGCGCGAGGGGAGCGGGCUGCGGCCUAUUAGCUUGAUGGUGGGGUAAAAGCCUACCAUGGCGACGAUAGGUAGCUGGUCUGAGAGGAUGAUCAGUCACACUGGAACUGGAACACGGUCCAGACUCCCACGGGAGGCAGCAGUUGGGAAUAUUGCACAAUGGGGGAAACCCUGAUGCAGCAAUCCCGCGUGAGGGAUGAAGGCCCUAGGGUCGUAAACCUCUUUCAACAGGGAAGAAGGGAAACUUGACGGUACCUGGAGAAGAAGCACCGGCUAACUCCGUGCCAGCAGCCGCGGUAAUACGGGGGGUGCAAGCGUUGUUCGGAAUCAUUGGGCGUAAAGCGCGUGUAGGCGGUUUCUUAAGUCUGAUGUGAAAGCCCGGGGCUUAACCCCGGAAGUGCAUUGGAUACUGGGAAACUAGAGGGCGAGAGAGGAAGGCGGAAUUCCAGGUGUAGGGGUGAAAUCCGUAG
rnacentral:rRNA from 1 species